UUUUUUGUUUUGGGGUUUUAUAUGCUGUUCAAAAUUCACCCAGAUUCCAGAUCUGACUGUUUUCAGGUAAUAUAAUUAAUUAUAGACACUGGGAAUUUUUUGUUUUUUUUGUUUUUUUUUUUUUUUGGAUUGUGUAAUUGGAUUAUGGUGGGAGGAGGAGAGUUUUGUAGCUUUUUUACAGGCCAAGAAAGGGAAGAGAAUCUCGAGAGAUGAAGAAGAUGCCCCAAAUCCUCUACAAAUUGUUGUUUCUAAGGUGAAUUCUUGGCUAAUUUCCAAGGAAAUGGGAGGUUAUUGCCCGCGUAAUCUACCGAAAGGUCAAAUGUUCGAGUAAAACACUCGAUGUCCACUUUAUGGGGAGGUUGUUGCCCCUCGUAACGUCUACCAAAAGGUUGAAUGUUCGAGUAAAACACUCGAUGUUUGCUUUAUAGGGGAGGUUAUUUCCUUCUUAACGUUUGCUAAAAGGUCAAAUGUUCGAGUAGUGUCUGGUUCAUGGAGAGCUUAUUACCCUUGUAAUGUCUACUAAAAGGUCAAAGGUUCGAGUAAAACACAUGAGGCUUGCUGCUUCAUGGGGAGGUUAUUACAUUCUUAACAUCUACUAAAAGGUCAAAUGUUGAAGUCAAACACUCGAUGUCUGCUUCGUGGGGUGUAAUGAGUCUGUUCUGUUCGAUUAUGUGCUGUUGACAUAUGAGGCACGUCGUCUUUACAUACUUAGCAACGUCGUGUCACAUGUCCAGCUAGUAGUAUCGGAGGUUGGGGGUGGAGCAAUGGCAGGGAGACAUUUGUGAUGCUUCCCUCAGAUGAGAUCUUCCCAUUCAUCAUUAAUUUGAUUGCUCUCUAUGAAUCAAUCAACUUGUAUGUGACGCCUAAACCCACACAAAUGAUGCUUUUGUUUUAGCUACUCAUUUUGGGUUACAAAUGGUUGUAAUGUUGUGUAUGAAUUGAUGAACAAUGUGGCUUUUGUGUUCUGUUUUGCCUUCCAUUUGCAUCAUUUGUCAAUUCUUCAC